CGGGAAGUAGGCUCAGCUUGGUAGAGCACAUGGUUUGGGACCAUGGGGUCGCAGGUUCGAAUCCUGUCUUCCCGACCA
rnacentral:tRNA from 1 species